UUUGUGGAAGUUACACUUGAUGUCAAUAAUUUUAAAGCUUAGUGCAUGCACUCCGUUUGGUGCAGAAGGAUUAUGGAAUGAAAACAGGGGAAAUGCAGAGGAAUUGAUUAUCGACCGGUUGGAUCAUUCAGAUCAUUCAAGCAUUAAAAUCAAAGAGUAUAGAAGGAGAAGCUGAACCAAUACCGAGGGACGUUCUCGAUUGGAUGGAAGAGAUGCAGAAUUGUAGACUUACUUGGGUCUCCAGGGAGGCAAACAACCUGGCGCAUACUGCGGCAACAUUGGAGUCGGACGGAAAAUUGAGGAGAAAUUGGAGUAGAUACCUUCCAAGUGAGCUGCGUGAGAUACUACGGGAUGAGACUCCUCAAACAAACAGAUUGGGCUUUUAUCCCUCUGCAGAAUCGGCGAGAUAUAAUUCAGGGCUAGAGCAGCAAA